GACGGAGGAUGCAAGCGUUAUCCGGAAUUAUUGGGCGUAAAGCGUCCGCAGGUGGACAUACAAGUCUGCUGUCAAAGUGCAGAGCUUAACUCUGUAAAGGCGGUGGAAACUGUAGGUCUUGAGUAUGGUAGGGGUAGAGGGAAUUCCCGGUGUAGCGGUGAAAUGCGUAGAGAUCAGGAAGAACAUCGGUGGCGAAGGCGGCCUGCUGGGAUCUUGCUGACGCUGAGGCGCGACAGCGUGGGGAGCAAACAGG
rnacentral:rRNA from 1 species